rnacentral:rRNA from 1 species
AUAUCAAUAAGCGGAGGAAAAGAAACUAACAAGGAUUCCCCUAGUAACUGCGAGUGAACCGGGAAGAGCUCAAAUUUUGAAUCUGGCGGUCUUUAGGCCGUCCGAGUUGUAAUCUAGAGAAGCGUCUUCCGCGCUGGACCGUGUAUAAGUUUCCUGGAAAGGAACGUCGUAGAGGGUGAAAAUCCCGUCUUUGACACGGACUCCCAGGGCUAUGUGAUGCGCUCUCGACGAGUCGAGUUGUUUGGGAAUGCAGCUCAAAUAGGGUGGUAAAUUCCAUCUAAAGCUAAAUACAGGCGAGAGACCGAUAGCGAACAAGUACCGUGAGGGAAAGACGAAAAGAACUUUGGAAAGAGAGUUAAACAGUACGUGAAAUUGCUGAAAGGGAAACGCUUGAUGUCAGUCGCGUUGGCCGGGGAUCAGCCUUGCUUAAUCGCGAGGCGUACUUCCUGGUCGACGGGUCAGCAUCAGUUUUGACCGUCGGAAAAGGGCUUGAGGAAAGUGGCACUCUCUCGGGAGUGUGUUAUAGACUCGGGUCUUGAAUACGAUGGUUGGGACUGAGGAACUCAGCACGGCCCUUUGGGUAUCGGGGCUUCGGCCCACGUUCGCGUGCUUAGGAUGCUGGCAUAAUGGCCUUAAGCGA